UAAACAUUCUAGUACAUCACUGCUUUUGCAUAAUCAGCUCUUCAAUGGCCAUGAUGGCAUGCCUCUAUCUCUAUUCUGGUGACCUAAGUGUCAAAUUUAUUUAUCUUAUUUAAAAACAAGAACACAUUCAAGGUUUCGUCUAAAUUCUGCAGAGUUGACAAGAUGGCUGACACCACUGGAAAGAUUAUAAAAUGCAAGGCUGCUGUCAUGCGGGAACACAAGAAACCACUGAUAAUAGAAAAUAUUGAGGUUGCGCCACCAAAAGCUGGUGAACUCAGAAUUAAGAUAAUGUACUCCAGUAUAUGUCACAGUGAUGAAAACUACUUGGGUGGAUCGAGACCUUGGAUUGUGGAUUCUAUUCUGGGACACGAGGGAGCUGGUAUUGUAGAGAGUGUUGGAGAGGGCGUGACAGAGUUUAAAGCUGGUGACCACGUGAUUCCAUCGUUUAUGGGGCAGUGCAACCAGUGUAGAACAUGUAAGAGUGGAAAAACCAAUGUCUGUGACGUGUUGAAAGGAGAACAUUAUUUGAAGGGAGGAAUGUUGGAUGGUACCGUUCGGUUUAGUUGUAAUGGUAAACCAAUCUACCAUUAUCUGAAUACCAGUACAUUCAGUCAGUAUACAGUGGCAUCGGAGUGGUCCUGUGUUAAGAUAGACCCAGCUGCACCAUUAGACAAGGCUUGUUUACUAGGUUGUGGCAUUGCAACGGGGUAUGGUUCUGCUAUCAAUACUGCCAAGGUAGAACCUGGUUCAGUAUGUGCUGUAUGGGGAUUAGGUACCAUUGGUUUAGCUGUUGUUAUGGGCUGUAGAAAUGCAGGAGCGUCUCGGAUCAUAGGAAUAGACACAAACCCAGCCAAAUUUGAAAUAGCUAAAAAGUUUGGAAUGACGGAGGGAGUUAAUCCAAAAGAUUUUAAGGAACCUCUUCAAGAUGUACUUUUAAAGAUGACAAACGGUGGACUUGACUAUGCAUUCGAAUGUAUUGGUAAUGUUAAAACUAUGAAAGUGGCUUUUGACUCCGUUCACAGAUGCUGGGGUAAAGUGCUGAUUAUUGGUGUUGCUCCCAUUACAGACGAAUUUGUCACUAACCCGUACGCUAUUACCAUGGGGAAACAAGUCAUAGGAUCACUGUAUGGAGGUAAGUCACUAAUCCUUACGCUAUUACCAUGGGGAAACAAGUUAUAGGAUCACUGUAUGGGGAUUACAAGGUGAAAACUAUCAGUAAUUUAGUGACGGAGUACAUGAAUAAAAAGUUAAUGGUCGACGAGUUUGUCACUCAUAAGAUGGGUUUGGAUAAAAUCAAUGAAGGUUUCGAUCUUCUACGUUCUGGAAAAAGCUUGCGAACUGUCUUGGAUAUGUGGGCUUAAUUCAUGGUUAUAAAGUGAAGAAAAAUCAAAGGAAAGGAAAUAUUAAUCAGAAAUUAUAGAACAGUCAGUUUAAGCAGGGACAGUCUAUAGACCUGCAGUAUUGACUGUCCCUGAUUUAGGUAUAUAAGGUGGUGAGGUGGUGAG